rnacentral:rRNA from 1 species
AUGGACAGCGUGACGUAUUCAGGCGAUGGGAUGGCCUUCUUCCUCGGGCAUUUCCCUUCCAAGAUACCGGAUAACAGCGUGGGCGGCGGCCUCGCCCUCCUCCCCAAGUACGCUGACGGAACAGGCGAUAGCCGGAUCGUGGCGGUGGAGUUCGACACUUUUGCCAACAUGGAGUGUGCCGACAUCAACGGAAACCAUGUCGGCAUCGACGUCAACUCCCUCAACUCCACCGCAUCAACGGACACAACGAGCUGGCCGGGAAAGAACCUCACGUCCCCCAAUGUUCUCAAAACCGCCACUAUGACGUACCACAAUGACUCCAAGAUGUUGGCCGUGGAUCUCCUCAUCGACGGUGCCUUGUACCAGGUCAAUGCCACCGUUGAUCUGAGUACAUAUUUACCGGAGGAGGUCGCCGUCGGCUUCUCCGCGGCGACCGGUGGUGUCUUCGAGCUGCACCAGAUACUGUCAUGGUCAUUCAGCUCCACUCUGGAAUCAAAGAAGGAAGCACCUCCACCUGCUGAAGCUCCCCUUCCAAUUCCAACCAGCAGCAACAACAAGCACAAAAAGUUGGUACCAAUUCUAGUAUCUGUCCUAGUUCCUCUACUUCUUUUGUUUGUCUGCGCGGCGGUGGUGCUGGGAUUGUGGCGACACAAGAAAAGAAGAGCAAACGAGGACAGCGAAGAAGAGUGCCUCGACAGAGCUGACCUCGAGAGGGGUGUGGCGGCCGGAGGCCCCAGACGGUACAUCUAUAACGAGCUGGUCGCCGCAACGGGUAACUUCGCGGAGGAGAAAAGGCUCGGGCGAGGCGGCUUUGGGAGCGUUUACGGGGGUCAGCUCACACUAGCAGCGGCCGUCGGAGGUGACCAAGACCGUCGGGCGGUGGCGGUGAAGGUUCUAUCAGCGGAGUCGUCGGCGCAGGGGAGAAAGGAGUUCGAGGCAGAAGUGAGGAUCAUCAGCAGACUAAAGCAUCGCAACCUUGUCCAGCUGCUGGGCUGGUGCGACAGCCGCAAGGGGCUCCUGCUUGUCUACGAGCUCGUCGCAGAGGGCAGCCUAGACAGGCACCUCUACAACAAGGACGGAAAGCAUCUCACAUGGCCACAGAGGUACAAGAUCAUCCUCGGCUUGGGAUCCGCGUUGCGCUACCUCCACAGAGAGUGGGAGCAGUGCAUCGUGCACGGCGACAUCAAGCCCAGCAACAUCAUGCUCGACUCGUCGAUGAGCACCAAGCUCGGGGACUUCGGGUUGGCCCGGCUCGUCGACCAUGACACGGGGUUGCUGCAGACCACCAAGGCCGUGCUCGGCACCGCCGGCUACAUCGACCCCGAGUUCGUCAACACGCGUCGGCCAUGCAGCGAGUCCGACGUGUACAGCUUCGGCAUCGUUCUACUGGAGAUCGUCUCCGGCCGGCGGCCGGUGACGGAGACCGCGGGGAAAUCCUUCACUCUGCUCAGGUGGGUGUGGAGCUUGUAUGGCAGGAACACAAUCCUCGACGCCGCGGAUGAGGGGCUGAGGGGUGACGAGGCCGACGAGCAGUGGAUGGUGCGGGUACUCAUCGUCGGGCUCUGGUGCGCGCACCCGGUACGGAGCGAGCGGCCGUCUGUCGCCCAGGCAAUGCACGUCCUGCAGUCCGAUGAGGCGAGGCUGCCGGCACUCGCGCUGCACAUGUACAGGACUGUGCCGGACCCCGCGUCGUCUGGCCCGUACGGGUCUUUCUCCGUUGAGAGCUCCAGCUCCGGUCGUGUUCGCUCUUCUUCAGACAGCACGGGCAGCACCACUCUUUCCUCUGAGUCAUCCUCGACUGCGUUGCUACGAUAUUCCAGGGAUGGCUAA